GGGGGCGAAACGGCUUCGACGGGGAUAAAGAAGCUUGGGCUGCAUACCGAGGUUCUGCGUGCUCGUAAAACAGGCAGAAAUAAAAUAAACGCAGACGAUUAUGCGUAUGCCUUAGCCGCUUAAGCGGCUAACGUCCAGCCGUUCUUUCCUGCGAGGGCGGGUCUGGGCGUCGACGAGCAGGAUAGCCGAUCUGAGAGGCCUGGAUCUCAAUGAGGCGAACCUGUAACCAGGAUAGCCCUUACGCCACCUUGCCCGAUAGGUGUAGUAAGGGCGAACAUGAAAAAUCGGGCUACGUAUGUAGAGGCCUAAGCGGAAUAUUUUCGGACGGGGGUUCGACUCCCCCCGCCUCCACCA
rnacentral:tmRNA from 1 species